AUACCUUUCUCGGCCUUUUGGCUAAGAUCAAGUGUAGUAUCUGUUCUUAUCAGUUUAAUAUCUGAUACGUGGGACAUCGUCCCACAUGAUAUUAAAUUAAUUUUUUUUCUUAGGGGAGGUCCCACCACAAUGGCUUGCCAUUGGGGUCCUCAAGGGCCGCCCAUGCGUUGCACUAUUGCACGGGCUUGGCGCGCCCCUU
rfam:Macleaya cordata isolate BLH2017 scaffold9013, whole genome shotgun sequence.